rnacentral:rRNA from 1 species
AGCGAACGCUGGCGGCAGGCCUAAUACAUGCAAGUCGAGCGCCCUUUCGGGGGAGCGGCGGACGGGUGAGUAACGCGUGGGAAUAUGCCCUUUGGUACGGAACAACACAGGGAAACUUGUGCUAAUACCGUAUGUGCCCUUCGGGGGAAAGAUUUAUCGCCAUUGGAGUAGCCCGCGUUGGAUUAGGUAGUUGGUGAGGUAAAGGCUCACCAAGCCUACGAUCCAUAGCUGGUCUGAGAGGAUGAUCAGCCACACUGGGACUGAGACACGGCCCAGACUCCUACGGGAGGCAGCAGUAGGGAAUCUUGCGCAAUGGGCGAAAGCCUGACGCAGCCAUGCCGCGUGUAUGAUGAAGGUCUUAGGAUUGUAAAAUACUUUCACCGGGGAAGAUAAUGACGGUACCCGGAGAAGAAGCUCCGGCUAACUUCGUGCCAGCCGCCGCCGUAACAC